rnacentral:rRNA from 1 species
UGAAAGUCCGGUAGCAGGAGGUAGCACCAUAGCUCUAGAGUAGGCUCGGGCUCGUGGAACCCGGGUUGAAUAUGGGAGGUCCACCUUCCAAGGCUAAGUACUCCUUGACGACCGAUAGCGAAGAAGUAAAGUGAUUGAAAGUUUAAAAGCACUCCUAUUAGGAGGGUGAAAUAGUACCUGAAACCGUGUGCCUACAAGCGGUCGGAGCCCUACGGGGUGACGGCGUGCUUUUUGCAUAAUGAGCCCGCGAGUUAGUCUCUGUGGCGAGCUUAAGGCCUACCGGGCCGGAGGCGGAGCGAAAGCGAGUCUGAAUAGGGCGUUGAGUCGC